rnacentral:rRNA from 1 species
CCUACGGGUGGCAGCAGUGAGGAAUCUUGGUCAAUGGGCGCGAGCCUGAACCAGCCAAGUCGCGUGAGGGAAGACGGUCCUAUGGAUUGUAAACCUCUUUUGUCGGGGAGCAAAAGACGCCACGCGUGGCGUUCCGAGAGUACCCUAAGAAAAAGCAUCGGCUAACUCCGUGCCAUCAGCCGCGGUAAUACGGGGGAUGCGCGCGUUAUCCGGCUUUAUUGGGUUAAAGGGGUGCGCAGGCGGAAGAUAAAGUCAGCGGUAAAAUUGAGGGGCUCAACCUCUUCAGGCCGUGUAAACUGGUUUUCUUGAGUGAGUGAGAGGUAUGCGGAAUGCGUGGUGUAGCGGUGAAAUGCAUAGAUAUCACGCAGAACACCGAUUGCGAAGGCAGCAUACCGGCGCUCAACUGACGCUGAUGCACGAAAGUGUGGGUAUCGAACAGGAUUAGAUACCCGGGUAGUC